rnacentral:rRNA from 1 species
GAUGAACGCUGGCGGCGUGCCUAAUACAUGCAAGUCGAGCGAACGGACGAGAAGCUUGCUUCUCUGAUGUUAGCGGCGGACGGGUGAGUAACACGUGGAUAACCUACCUAUAAGACUGGGGUAACUUCGGGAAACCGUAGCUAAUACCGGAUAAUAUUUUGAACCGCAUGGUUCAAAAGUGAAAUACGGUCUUGCUGUCACUUAUAGAUGGAUCCGCGCUGCAUUAGCUAGUUGGUAAGGUAACGGCUUACCAAGGCAACGAUGCAUAGCCGACCUGAGAGGGUGAUCGGCCACACUGGAACUGAGACACGGUCCAGACUCCUACGGGAGGCAGCAGUAGGGAAUCUUCCGCAAUGGGGGAAAGCCUGACGGAGCAACGCCGCGUGAGUGAUGAAGGUCUUCGGAUCGUAAAACUCUGUUAUUAGGGAAGAACAUAUGUGUAAGUAACUGUGCACAUCUUGACGGUACCUAAUCAGAAAGCCACGGCUAACUACGUG